rnacentral:rRNA from 1 species
CACGGGGGGGGUAAGCGUUGUUCGGAAUUACUGGGCGUAAAGGGCUCGUAGGCGGCCAACUAAGUCAUACGUGAAAUCCCUCAGCUUAACUGGGGAACUGCGUGUGAUACUGGAUGGCUUGGAUUUGGGAGAGGGAUGCGGAAUUCCAGGUGUAGCGGUGAAAUGCGUAGAUAUCUGGAGGAACACCGGUGGCGAAGGCGGCAUCCUGGACCAAUAUUGACGCUGAGGAGCGAAAGCUAGGGGAGCAAACGGG